UACGAGGGGGGCAAGCGUUGUUCGGAAUUAUUGGGCGUAAAGGGUGCGUAGGCGGUUUGAUAAGUCACAUGUGAAAUCUUCGGGCUCAACCCGAAGUCUGCAUGCGAAACUGUCGGGCUUGAGUAUGGGAGAGGUGAGUGGAAUUUCCGGUGUAGCGGUGAAAUGCGUAGAUAUCGGAAGGAACACCUGUGGCGAAAGCGGCUCACUGGACCAUAACUGACGCUGAUGCACGAAAGCUAGGGGAGCAAACAGG
rnacentral:rRNA from 2 species